rnacentral:misc_RNA from 1 species
UCAUCGAGGCCAUUCCGAGACAGUCUUGAAGAGGUUCCUGGUUUGAUGGACGAAGAGGGCCCUGAUCGAAGACCACCCACGAAAAUGGAGAGGAAGACGAGUAUAUUCGAGUACUACUCCUACAAUCCUGGACAAAUAAUGCCCUCUUCAGGUACUGGACCGUUAGUGGGAGUCAUCGACCUCGGCACUCGGACGACGGGAUUCGUGGUCUUCAACGCAAAACACGUCGCUCAAGUUGCCGCGCACCAUGUGGAUAUCGAAGAACUUAAUCCAAAUGAAGGAUGGGUCGAAGUGGACAUUAAGGAGGUUUUCCGUUCCGUGGAAAUUUGUAUCGAAGAAGUAGUUAAACAACUCGAAGCCAUGAAUUUAAGCCUUUCGUUAAUGGUCACCAUUGGUAUCACCAAUCAGAGGGAAACUACGGUGGCGUGGGAUGAUAAAACGGGUGAUCCACUCUGCAAUGCAAUAGUUUGGUCCGAUAUCAGGACGGAUACCCUCGCUGAGCAGAUAAUCGCCAAGUUUCCUGAUAAAAGUAAAAAUUAUUUAAAACCGAUAUGCGGAUUACCGGUUAAUCCCUAUUUUUCGGCUUUGAAAAUUCGCUGGUUGAAGGACAACGUACCGGCAGUCAGAAAAGCAAUGCGCGAAAAGCGGUGCAAAGUUGGAACCAUGGAUACGUGGUUAGUGUGGAAUUUAACAGGAGGUAAAAAUGGAGGUCUGUACAUCACCGACGUAACGAAUGCUUCAAGGACCAUGCUCAUGAACAUAGAAUCUCUGGCAUGGGAUCCUAUACUCUGCAGGUAUUUCGACAUUCCGAUGGAAAUUUUACCGCAAAUCAGGAGCAGCUCUGAAAUUUAUGGUACAAUUACCGACGGACCGUUAGAAGGCAUUAAAAUAUCCGGGAUUCUGGGCAAUCAACAGGCGGCGCUAGUCGGACAAACCUGUUUGAAGCCAGGCCAAGCAAAGAAUACAUAUAGAAGCGGAUGUUUUCUCCUCUGUAACACCGGAACUAAGAGAGUGCAUUCGUCCCAUGGGCUAGUAACAACAGUGGCAUACCAAUUAGGUCCAAACAAGCCGGCAGUUUAUGCUUUAGAAGGUUCCGUGGCCGUUGCAGGGGCAGCUAUAAAGUGGCUAAGAGACAAUCUAAAGCUCAUCAGUGAUGUCAGUGAAUGUGAGCAUUUAGCAGAAAGUGUUUUCAAUACGGGGGAUGUUUACUUCGUACCUGCGUUUACUGGUCUUUAUGCUCCUUACUGGAGACAAGAUGCCAGAGGAAUUAUCUGUGGCCUUACUGCAUUCACUACCAAGAAGCAUAUUAUAAGGGCGUCUUUGGAAGCCGUGUGUUUCCAAACGCGAGAUAUUCUUGAAGCUAUGUAUAAGGAUUGUGGCUUACCUUUAACGAAACUGCAUACAGACGGGAAAAUGUCGACCAAUAAAUUAUUGAUGCAACUGCAAGCAGAUCUUUGUGGAACUCCUGUGUUUAGAUCAAUAAUGCCAGAUACCAGUGCGUUGGGUGCCGCUAUGGUAGCAGGCAACGCAAAGGGUAUAGACGUUUGGGAGCUGGAAGGCCACCAAGUAGAGACGAGCGGGAUUUGAGGUAUAAAAAGUGGAAAAUGGCCGUGCACAGAAGUUUAGGAUGGGCGGCGAUGAAAAUAUCCGAUAAUAUGACAGAAGAGAGAUAUCGGAUUUUGGCAUCGAUCCCAGCCAGCUGGUUCAUAAUGACAAGUUUCAUCCUAUUGCGAUUAAGUUAUCACGUAGAAACCCGGUGACGACAAGUCUACAGUGCUGUGCUGAAACCCACAAUGCUUGGCAGAUAACCUCAGAGAAGAAUCAAACGAUUUUUUAAAUCGUUCUCAUAUUUGAACAAAUGGGGAGACAUUUAAAAAGAAUAUCGUUACAGUUAGCUGCGUUUCAACAAGUCGGAAGAUGUGAAUCCAUUCCAGUUUUCCCAUUAAUUCGUGUUAUUGUAAAUUGACUUUGGGAUGGUGUCAUGAAUCACAUUACUCACUCGUUAAGUGCAUUAUUAUCGAAUGGCAAGUCAUGGUACCAUUGUUCAACUGCCUUGCCAUACUAGUCGGUUUAAAGAAAAAAGUUAAACCCACAUAUAGGCAGUAAAAUUUAAAGUAAAGUAACGUACAAGUAUUCACAAGUGACCAUACUUCUGUUAUCGAGUGCUGAUACAACAUAGAAUGUUCACUAGUUUCUACUUGGAAUAGGCGUAUUAAAAUCAAUGUACAGGCACUAUAUAUUUCUAUUAUUCACAAUACUAUAAUAGUGAAUGUUUGCCAUUAUUUGUUUGGCACGGUUAUGCAGGAUACAUAGCCAUAUCACACAAAUCUAGUUUUGAUAGAGACAUUUGAAAGGAUUUAAUGAUCCUGUGACAAAAUUCUCACAUGGGUUUCGUUUAUUAAGUAUUUAUUUCAAAUGAAACACAAUUUUUAAAAGUAUCUAGUAUGUUUUACUACCGUUCUUUUCAAACGUGUAUUUUUAUGUCUGUAUUAUACGAUAAAUUGCUGCUUUAUAAAAAGUAAUAAUUUUGUGGUGAUGUUAAAAUAGCAAAGUAUAAAAGUACAACGAAAAUAUAAAUACCCUGUCAUUUUAGAAAUUCAAUGUAUUAUCCUAGAGCGAGUUAUAUUGCGUAUGAAAAUAUUUGUUGCUAUUAAAUUUGCAAGGCUCAUGUCGCAUCGUUUUACAUAUCGGACUACUUAAAUGUAUUACGUGGUGUUACUUUACAAUAGUUGCUUAUGUAUUUAUUUUUUGUUAAGUCUUUUGGUUCCCUGUAAAACAUCUCGAUCUCCUAAAUAAUUAACUACAAAUACACAGCUGUUAAUAAAAAUAUCCAAUAAUUUAGGUAACGGUUGUCAUUAUAUCUGAUCGUACUGAAAUCAUGGAGACAUUGUAUAUUAUUACAGCACAUGUCAUGUCGAAAGCACAACUUGUCGUACGUUGUCAGGUGCCACUGAUUAAUAAAUAACCCCGACCAAUUCAAAUGUCAUAAGCCAAACCUCCUCCCCCAGUACGCAGCGUUAAUCGAUUACGAUUUAAAAGCCUUCCUUACGAAUUAUAUCAAUUGUAAAUAAAAGCUUUUGAAAAUAAA